CUUUCUUUCAGAUGCAGAUGGAUAAAAUCCAUAGCAGAGCAGGCCAUCCCAGGAAGUAAAGGCAUAUAGCAACAGUCAAGUUCAAGUGGGCAAGGUAAUCCACUCAAGUUAUGUCAAGCCCCCAUCACCAACCAGCCGACGGACCAAUUUUGCUGCUCUCGUGAGCCCUGUGGAGGUAUUGCAGCACCCUGUGAUGAAGCUUUGAAAUUUUCUGCUUAAAGGUCCCUUCUGGAUAACCCUCAGGAAUGCUUGAGGAGUCACGGUGAGUCUGGGAGGUAUUGAGGAGGAGGGAGGGUCCACUCAGUUCUCAGCAGUGCCACAUCACCUUG